GGCAAACCAAACAUUUUUUUCAUAACAUUUAGUAAGGUUAUGUGGUAAAUUUCGUUACAUUAGUUAGCUCCCUUGCGAGCAUCUGCUGCCAACAGGAGGCGCUACGAAACAGAAACAAAGCGUCAGUACAUCGUGAAAACCAAGACCUAAUAUGUCGAGCAAAGUACCCACAAAAGUGUUUGUGGGUAACCUUACAGAAUCAUGCUCCAAAAUCCAUUUACAGAGAAUGUUCGAGGCAUAUGGAAGUAUUGUAGAGUGUGAUAUCAUCAGAAAUUAUGCAUUUAUUCACUUUGCUGAUGCAGAUGAAGCUAAAACUGCUGUUGACAACCUAGAUGGAUCAAACUUUGAAGGAUCUAACAUUAAGGUUGAGCUGUCACAUAGUAAGGUCAGACAGAAGCCAGGGAUGGGCAGGAAAGGAGACUGUUACAGAUGUGGGAAGGAAGGACACUGGUCAAAAGAUUGCCCCAAAGGACCGUCCCGACCUCCUCGCAAACCUGGUCGCGAUGAUCCGUACAAGUCUCCAUACAGGGAUCCCAGAGAUCUUAGAGAUCCUUACUACAGAGACCCAUAUGAUGAUCCCUACUACAGAGACCGUUACCUGCCUCCUCCCCCUAUGGACAGAUACAGGCCAUAUGCUGACCCCUAUGAUCGACGCCCCCUUCCCCCACCCCCAAGGGAUCCAUACUACAGAGAGAGAGACCCCUAUGCCAGGCCCCCACCGGAGUACUAUGGCAGAAGGUCACCACCCCCAAGAGAUCCUUACUAUGACUACUAUGCAAGAGAGAGACCUUCUUGGGACUGAAAUAGCAUGUGUAACAAACUCACAUGCCCUUUCAUACAGCGUUGAAUAUCUCCUUACAGGAUGAAACCGAUCCAAGCUGUGUCAGCACAAGAGGAUGUCUGUCUGAAGAGGGAUUUGCUUGAUACAAGUACAAGACAAGCAUGAAACAAGCAAGCUUCACCUUCAGGGAGGAAGGGGAUCGUAGAAGAAUUACUGUUGCUGCAUCCAAGUUUUCAAGUCCAUCUGAUCUUGAAAAUUUGCCUCAUUGUGGCACCAUCAGCUUCCCAUAGCAAUUGUGAAUCAGCAAGGUGUUGGGAAUAAAAUUCUGAUCACUGGACUUAGAUACAUAACUGAUGUCUUAACACAAGCAAGACUCUUAUCUGUUUCACAAUACUAUUGCAGAUCCUGAUGAUCUUGUGAAGGCUGUAAUCAACUUUCACUACUUCACUAAAAAAUGGAGGUUGUGAAAGUACUUGACUUGUUUUUGCAAGGUUAACAGGAACAUACAAAUUCAGACUGACAUGUUUUUCAAAGAGGUUAUUGAAUCCUUGGGCUGCAUAUGUGAAUACAGAUGACUUCAAAUUAUGUCCAAGUCCUGAAAGUACAUUUCAUGUUUUGUAAAUGUCAUGAAAAUAAAAUCUGACACAAGAAGCCGCAAUAAA